UGCGUAGGCGGCUAUCUAAGCAGGGUGUGAAAGCCCCCGGCUCAACCGGGGAAUUGCGUUCUGAACUGGAUGGCUGGAGUGAGAUAGGGGUGUGUGGAACUUCCGGUGGAGCGGUGAAAUGUGUUGAUAUCGGAAGGAACGCCGGUGGCGAAAGCGACACACUGGGUCUCAACUGACGCUGAGGCACGAAAGCCAGGGGAGCGAACG
rnacentral:rRNA from 1 species